rnacentral:rRNA from 1 species
GACGAACGCUGGCGGCGUGCCUAAUACAUGCAAGUCGAGCGCAGGAAACUGACGGAACUCUUCGGAGGGAAGGCAGUGGAAUGAGCGGCGGACGGGUGAGUAACACGUAAGGAACCUGCCUCAAGGAUUGGGAUAACUCCGAGAAAUCGGAGCUAAUACCGGAUAGUUCAACGGACCGCAUGGUCCGCUGAUGAAAGGCGCUCCGGCGUCACCUUGAGAUGGCCUUGCGGUGCAUUAGCUAGUUGGUGGGGUAACGGCCCACCAAGGCGACGAUGCAUAGCCGACCUGAGAGGGUGGUCGGCCACACGGGGAAUGAGACACGGCCCAGACUCCUACGGGAGGCAGCAGUAGGGAAUCUUCCACAAUGGACGAAAGUCUGAUGGAGCAACGCCGCGUGAGUGAUGAAGGUUUUCGGAUCGUAAAACUCUGUUGUAAGGGAAGAACACGUACGAGAGGGAAUGCUCGUACCUUGACGGUACCUUACGAGAAAGCCACGGCUAACUACGUGCCAGCAGCCGCCGUAAUAC